UGGAUCUGACUUGGCUCUGGCCUGUCGAGGCAUGGACAUAGGACCUCUGGGUGUGUCCUGUAGCAUCACCAAGGAGUUGGAGGUGGAUUCUUUGAGUCCUGUAGGCUGCAAGGUGUGGUACCGCCAUGUCUUAUGGAUGCUCGAUUGGACUGGGAUCCAGGGAAUUUGGAGGCCAGACUGAUGCCAAGAGCCCUUUGUCAUUGUCCUCUGGCUAUUCCUGAGCACACCUGUGGCGUUGCAUGGUGCAUUGUCCUGCUUGGGGGCCACUGUCAUUGGGCAGUGCUGCUACCAUGGGGAGGGGGGUACUUGGUCUGCAAUGUGUUUGGCUGGGUAGUGCAUGUAAAGUGGCACCCACAUGUAUGCGAGGACCCAAAGUUUCCCAACAGAACAGUGUAACAAUAUAAUCUUACUCACCUUACCUGUCAGUGGUUUAAAUGUUAUGACUGAUCAGUAUAUACAUACAUACAUACAUACAUACAUACAUUAAUUUACUUAUCUUUUUAUUUAUUUAUUUAUGUAUAUAUAUUUCCAACAAUGUGUGCUUGCUGGCAAUGCAUUCAGAUUUUGACAGUUAGCCAGCUGCUAGGUAGCUAGCUUGACGCAGAGGCUAAGCUAGUUUGAUUUUAUUUUUUGCCCAAGCUGAUCUUAACUUUAGGAACUGACAUCUGUAAAACACUUCCACAAACACUGAUAUCUAUCUAGGUCAGACCAAGAGAAAUUUACAUUUCUUUGUAUUUAUAUAUUAAAAAAAAGGUCAACCAAUGGGACUGCGCCUGCGCACACACAGCAACAGCCGCUUGACAGCUAGCGCGCUAACUAGCUAGCCUGCCAACCUGCGAUGAGGUCUUGUUAGAUAGUGUUAGUAUUAGCUAGCGGCUAGCUCAGCCAAUGUUAGUGGCAAUAGCGUCCAAGGAAGACUGAGGGUCUGCCUGCUCUUCUCAGAGCCGUGUGUCCUACUCUGAGGACUUCCUUCAGAAUUAAAACGCUACAGAGUUGCCUUCCUGCAUCGUCUGCUCAUUAGGGACCACAGUAACCACCACCUGUACCAUACUUAUUUCCUGCAAGUGAGGAUGCACUACUUAUAUGACAAAGCACCUUCUCCAGCAUGAGCAGUAAUGAGUGUACCCUGUAAGACGUAUUGUACCAUGCCUCAUCCUCCUCAGUCAGCCCUCUGCCAACAGCCAGCACGUCGUCAUUAUCGGACUUGUCCGGCUUCAUGAACCUGAUGAGAGUUUUAUACACGUCCACGCUCUAGGUUUCCACUGAAAUGAACUCUGCAUGUGGUGAGAUGCUGCUGAUUCACCAAAAGCUUGAGACGCAUUUUGCUGUUAAAGAGGGAGACAGAGUAUUUGUAUCCAACCUUAAGAAGGUAGUUUGGGCAAACCUGUCCACGUAAUACCAGAGGGAUUACAACAGGAACUUUCUUGAAGAGGCCACUGCAUUAGACCCACACUUUAAACAAAGAUAGAUGACACAGGACUGGACUGAGUUACUGGCUUGAAAACUGACUGACUCUGAACAGUCAACAGAGCAUGAUCAUGGAGGAGAUGGUGGAGUCAUACUGCAGUCUGAGGCAAGCCAAGAGAAUAAGGAAGGGGUGAGGAAGACAAGCAUGUAAGUACAAGAUGAAAUUAUAUUUAAUAGGUUCCUCGGCUUAACCACGAUCUAUGCUUUUAAUGAAUGUUUUUUUAAUGACAAGCUUUCUUUAUUUGGUUUUUGUUUGUUUGUUUUUAAUCAUCAGGCCUCCUCUUUUCCUAGUCUUCCACUCGGGGAUACUGCCUGAGAAGUCAGAUAGGCUUAUUUUUCUCAACAAGAGCUGUUUCUGAUUUAGAGAGUUUUUACACUGUUAGUCCCGACCAAAGUUUUGUAUAUUUAUUAUUUGGUUCAGUUGCAAUUAUGCAAGUACACCAAGCACCACACUCAGAUGUUCCUACUUCUCUCUCGUCACCAACACCCACAUGGCUGCAGCUCCUUAAACUGUAAAUUAAUUGGUUGUUGGACUGUUACUAUGUUGUCAUUUCAGCAGGUUUCAGUGUUACAGUUACAGAAAAAGAACAGAUUAAUAUCUUACUCAUAUUAUUUAAUAAUAGCAACCAAAUUAAACACUUAACAGGUCCCAUGAACUGUAUAAAGUGAGCUGUGAAUAUGAAUAUAUGAAUUGUGUAAAAGUUUUGAAAAAUAAAAGUCCUCAAAGAAUUGGAUUUGAGAAUCAAAUAGAUUCAGGAUCAAUAAGCAGAAUCGUAAAAUGUGUAAAUGAAGUGUAGUAAAUGAAAAGGAGGAGUAGUUGUACUAAAUCACAGUACUCUGGUAAAUAUACUUAGUUACCUCCCACGGCUGUGAACAUCUGCCAAAUGAUGAGUGUCAUCCAAUAAUGCAAAUGUGUUCCUGUUUAUCCCACUUCCUGUUGCUCCCAGCUGUAACACACAUUGUAUUUUACUAAAGAGGACCACAUUUCCAUCCAAACAUUGUGGCAAGUGCUAAAAAUACUGCAUCAACCUGAUCCCAGCCCCCUCUCUGCAUAGCAUUUUCUCUCCCAUGAAAACUCAGCCCGAUUCAGAUUGGGCUGACAUCAUGGAAAAUGAUUGCCUGAGUCCCACCAUGGGUACAGCACAGGCAGACUGACAGUUUCUGAAAAGAAGGCAGGAACACGACAGCAUCCACAGCAUUCACCGUGAGCAACUGUGCCGUAAUGAGUAGCAGUGUUGCGUGACAUUAGAUGGACAAAUGUGUGCAUCUCUAAACAGACAGAAUCACGUUGCUUCUUUUUUUUUUUUUUUGCAUUUCUUCCUGUCCCUUUAAAUGUGCCUGUCACAGAGUCUGAGCACUGACAUAAACACAACAGUCAA